AUGGCCGGCGGCGUUUUCCUCCUCAACGGCGCCGACGCGCCGGACUACGGCGGCGCGCUGACCGUCCCCGUCGUGGUGACCUGUCUCAUGGCGGCCUCCGGCGGCCUUAUCUUCGGCUACGACAUUGGCAUCUCAGGGGGCGUCUCGGAGAUGGAGUCUUUCCUGAAGAAGUUCUUCCCGGGCUUACUCAAGACGACGAGGCACGCGAGCAAGGACGUCUACUGCAUGUACAACGACCAGGCGCUCACGGCCUUCACCUCCUCGCUCUACGCCUUCGGCAUGGUGGGCACGCUGGUGGCGAGCCGGGUCACCCGGCGGGUCGGCCGCAAGGCCAUCAUGGUCAUCGGGGGGAGCAUGUUCCUCGUCGGCUCGCUCGUCAACGCCGCCGCGGCCAACCUCGCCAUGCUCAUCGUCGGGCGGAUGCUGCUCGGCCUGGGCCUCGGGUUCUCCGGCCAGGCCACGCCGGUCUACCUUGCCGAGAUGUCGCCACCGCGGUGGCGCGGCGGGUUCAUCUCCGCGUUCCCUCUGUUCAUCAGCGUGGGGUACCUCGUCGCCAACCUGAUCAACUACGGCACGUCGCGGAUUCCCGAAUGGGGCUGGCGCCUGUCCCUCGGCCUCGCGGCCGUCCCCGCCGCCGUCAUGGUGCUGGGCGCCGUGCUCAUCACGGACACACCGAGCAGCCUCGUCCUGCGCGGGAAGCACGACCAUGCCCGCGCCGCGCUCCAGCGCGUCCGCGGCAAGGGCGUGGACGUUGACGCGGAGUUCGGCGACAUACUGGCCGCCGUGGAGCACGACCGGCGGAACCAGGAGGGCGCGUUCCGGCGGAUCCUGCGGCGGGAGUACCGGCCGUACCUGGUGAUGGCCGUGGCGUUCCCCGUGUUCCUGAACCUCACCGGCGUGACCGUGUCGGCCUUCUUCUCGCCGAUACUCUUCCGGACCAUAGGGUUCGGUAGCGACGCGGCGCUGAUGGGCGCCAUCAUCCUCGGCCUGAUGAACAUCGGCGGCAUCAUCGCCUCGGGCGUCGCCAUGGACCGCUACGGCCGGAAGCUGCUCUUCGCGAUCGGCGGCGCGCUCAUGUUCACCUGCCAGGUGGCAAUGGCAAGCAUCGCGGGGACGCACCUGGGGCACGGCAGCAAGAUGCCCAAGGGGUACGCGGUGGCGGUGCUGGUGCUGACGUGCGUCUUCUCGGCCAGCUUCAGCUGGUCGUGGGGUGCGCUGUACUGGACCAUCCCCGGCGAGAUAUACCCGGUGGAGGUGCGGUCGGCGGGGCAGGGCACGGCGGUGGCGCUCAACCUGGGCCUCAACUUCGUGCAGGCGCAGUGCUUCCUGGCGAUGCUGUGCAGCCUCAAGUACGGCGUCUUCGUCUUCUACGCGUGCUGGCUCGUCGUCAUGACCGCCUUCGCCAUGGCGUUGGUGCCGGAGACCAAGGGCGUGCCGCUUGACUCCAUGGGCCACGUCUUCGCGCGCCACUGGUACUGGGGCAGGUUCGUCAAGGACCACAAGUUCGGAAAUGAGUCCACCUGA
rnacentral:rRNA from 1 species